AAACACUCAAUUGAUACCUAUCUAAAAACUACUUAACAUAUCUCUACAAAGUCAUUAGUUCCUCUGGUCCACCCAAUUGAUCAUUUGCUGCAUUAUCGAAUGUAAGUUCGACCAAAUCUGGUUCUAAUUGCAAAUCUUCUUCUUCUUCCUCUAGUCCAUCGACUCCUUCCUCAACUGGUUUGAGAGAUCUUCAUUAUACUCACCCAGUACACGGACUUGAGCUUCCAGUUUCAAGAUCUGGACAUCUCGAAGUUCUAAUUGUUGCUACUCACUCAUCUAUUCUAGAAUAUCUUCAAUCGACACUUGUGAU
rnacentral:lncRNA from 1 species